CCUACGGGGCGCAGCAGUGGGGAAUAUUGCACAAUGGGGGAAACCCUGAUGCAGCGACGCCGCGUGAAGGAAGAAGUAUUUCGGUAUGUAAACUUCUAUCAGCAGGGAAGAAAAUGACGGUACCUGACUAAGAAGCCCCGGCUAACUACGUGCCAGCAGCCGCGGUAAUACGUAGGGGGCAAGCGUUAUCCGGAUUUACUGGGCGUAAAGGGAGCGUAGGCGGUUCAGCAAGUCAGAAGUGAAAGCCCGGGGCUCAACUUCGGGACUGCUUUUGAAACUGUUGAACUAGAUUGCAGGAGAGGUAA
rnacentral:rRNA from 1 species